UCCCAAAAAGCUCAGCUCUUCAUCAUGGCCUGGCCUCUGCUCUUGACCUUCAUCUUCUUAUGGUGCCCAGGAGCCAACUCACAGUAUACUUUGACUCAACCUGCGGCACAAUCAUUUCCCCCGGCACAACCAGCAAAGAUCUCAUGUACCAUGAGCCAAGACAGCCAAGUGGGCAGCCAUGGCAUAUCUUGGUACCAACAGAAGGCUGGAGAGAGCACCAAAUACCUUCUCUAUAAUACUGGCACGAAUGGCCGGUUCACGGGGUCCAAGGACACCUCGGCCAAUGCAGUCUAUUUAACCAUUACAAACCUCCAGGCUGAGGAUGAGGCCGAUUACUAUUGUGGUGGUGCUUACGGCAGUGGCAGCACCUGGAGUCAGCAAGGCUUGGCAAACAGCCUUCCAGGGGAAUGUUUAUCAACAUGA